rnacentral:rRNA from 1 species
GACGAACGCUGGCGGCGUGCUUAACACAUGCAAGUCGAACGGUAAGGCCCUUCGGGGUACACGAGUGGCGAACGGGUGAGUAACACGUGGGUGAUCUGCCCUGCACUUCGGGAUAAGCCUGGGAAACUGGGUCUAAUACCGGAUAGGACUCCUGCCUGCAUGGGUGGGGGUGGAAAGCUUUUGCGGUGUGGGAUGGGCCCGCGGCCUAUCAGCUUGUUGGUGGGGUGAUGGCCUACCAAGGCGACGACGGGUAGCCGGCCUGGGAGGGUGACCGGCCACACUGGGACUGAGAUACGGACCAGACUCCUACGGGGGGCAGCAGUGGGGAAUAUUGCACAAUGGGCGCAAGCCUGAUGCAGCGACGCCGCGUGAGGGAUGACGGCCUUCGGGUUGUAAACCUCUUUCAGCACAGACGAAGCGCAAGUGACGGUAUGUGUAGAAGAAGGACCGGCCAACUACGUGCCAGCCGCCGCGGUAA